rnacentral:rRNA from 1 species
UACGGGGGGAGCAAGCGUUGUUCGGAUUUACUGGGCGUAAAGGGCGCGUAGGCGGCGUGUUAAGUCAGCUGUGAAAUCUCCAAGCUUAACUUGGAACGGUCAGCUGAUACUGAUGUGCUAGAGUGCAGAAAGGGCAAUCGGAAUUCUUGGUGUAGCGGUGAAAUGCGUAGAUAUCAAGAGGAACACCUGAGGCGAAGGCGGGUUGCUAGGCUGACACUGACGCUGAGGCGCGAAAGCUAGGGUAGCAAACGGG